rnacentral:rRNA from 1 species
GAUGAACGCUGGCGGCGUGCCUAAUACAUGCAAGUCGAGCGAACAGACGAGGAGCUUGCUCCUCUGACGUUAGCGGCGGACGGGUGAGUAACACGUGGAUAACCUACCUAUAAGACUGGGAUAACUUCGGGAAACCGGAGCUAAUACCGGAUAAUAUAUUGAACCGCAUGGUUCAAUAGUGAAAGACGGUUUUGCUGUCACUUAUAGAUGGAUCCGCGCCGCGUUAGCUAGUUGGUAAGGUAACGGCUUACCAAGGCAACGAUGCGUAGCCGACCUGAGAGGGUGAUCGGCCACACUGGAACUGAGACACGGUCCAGACUCCUACGGGAGGCAGCAGUAGGGAAUCUUUCGCAAUGGGCGAAAGCCUGACGGAGCAACGCCGCGUGAGUGAUGAAGGUCUUCGGAUCGUAAAACUCUGUUAUUAGGGAAGAACAAAUGUGUAAGUAACUAUGCACGUCUUGACGGUACCUAAUCAGAAAGCCACGGCUAACUACGUG